UGUUAUAUAUUUCAGAAACUCCAGAAAGGAACUUAAUGACAUACGGUUUGAGUUUACUCCAGGAAGAGAUACGGCAGAUGGUGUAUCUCAGGAGCUCUUCUCUGCUGGCUUGGUUGAUGGUCAUGAUGUAGUUAUAGUGGCUGCUAAUUUACAGAAGAUUGUAGAUGAUCCCAAAGCUUUAAAAACAUUGACAUUUAAGUUGGCUUCUGGCUGUGAUGGAUCGGAGAUUCCUGAUGAAGUGAAGCUGAUUGGGUUUGCUCAGUUGAGUGUCAGCUGAUGUAUGUCCCUUGAUGUCACCUGAUCUGUCAUGGCCCACCCCCACUCCUCUCGCCCUCCCUCUCCCUGCCCACUUGCUCCCACCCCCUCACUCCCAGUUCCCAGCAAAAUCAGAAGAUUGUGAAGAGUUUGGCUUCAACAAAAUUGGAUAAAAACAUAUUUUUUUAAAUGUACAACACUCCGAGUUCUGCUUUAUUCUCUAGCAAUCCACAGUAUGAGAACAAGCAAAUGCCACAGCUGCACGACUGUUGCUAAUUUUUCCAAAAGCUAUUUAAUAUUCUUAGCAAUCAAUUUGGAUAUCCCUUAAGUGAAAAAGAAUUUGAAAUACACUCAGGUGGUCCUAUUUAUUGGCAACAAAAGGAAUUUUCUAUCAGAAGCCUAUUUCUUCUUUCAUUGUUAUUUCUGUUAUAAUACUUUAAUUGUACAUCUGACAAUACUGCCUCUUUUAUGUUGUAUUUAGAAAUUAAUAUACUUAUAAAAUUAAGAUUUAUUAGCCAAACUUGAAUUCUAGUUUUAAAACUGACUGUGAAUUUUAUUUUUCAUAUAUUUAUGCAUCACACACCUUAGCUAUAAGAAAAAAAGGUUUUGAUUAUAUGCUUCUUGCAGUUAAUCUCUUGUUAUUUAAACAAAAAGUUUGGGGUCUAUCUUUGGAGUAUUUGUAACUUCUAAUCUUUGAAAUGACUGAAUUAGGAAUUUGGAUGCUUAUUCUUUUGGUUUGUUUGCCUAAAAACCAAUUCACAAUCUGAUUGUCUCUUGGGAGAGGGAGGUGCCUUGCAAACUUUCAUAUUAAGAAUGUGCCUGAGGCUUCUUCACUGGAAUAGUCUCAGAUCUAAAUUUUCCUCUACAUAAGGUGGCAUAUGUUAGGUUUUGCUUCAUUGGAACGUUUAGAAUGCUCUAUAAAAUGUCGCCAUUCUGUUAGAUUGCUAGCUAUAUACCCAUCUUUGAUUUGGCUCUCCUUAAGUGACAGGAUUUGUUAUUCUAAAGGUGAUAAACUUGAAAAUACCAGAAUCUGAGUUUUACUUGAAAUUCUGCAAAAUACCCAGGUGGAGUGAAAAUAAUAGAAAGGGUUUUGUGCAAUGCCUAGAAAAGGUAAAAUGUUGUUAAGUUUCAAGAAUAAAUACUUUCAAACCAAGUAGCCCUCUGCUUGACUAUAUAUAAUGGAACCUAGUAAACUUUAGGAUUUUCAAAAUUGGAGUCUCAACUUUCAGGGAGGUGGGCUCCCGGGAUGGUACCAUUGCUCUUUCCUAGCUAACCCUAGAUACGGCAGCUCUUUAAUGUACUUUAAAAAGCAAAUAUAUAUUACUAAGGAAAAAAAAGUUAUUUAUAAUUGCCUUGUCAUAAUUGUUAAGGUGUUCUAGAGCCAUUUGCAUACAAUUUAAUGUAAUUUCAUUCCAUUCUAUUGUUUACACAACGAUUACUCAAAGAUGACUGCAAAGGUAAAAGGAAAAUAAAAGUGUAUUGCACAAUGAGA